GAUGAACGCUGGCGGCGUGCCUAAUACAUGCAAGUCGAGCGAACGGACGAGAAGCUUGCUUCUCUGAUGUUAGCGGCGGACGGGUGAGUAACACGUGGAUAACCUACCUAUAAGACUGGGAUAACUUCGGGAAACCGGAGCUAAUACCGGAUAAUAUUUUGAACCGCAUGGUUCAAAAGUGAAAGACGGUCUUGCUGUCACUUAUAGAUGGAUCCGCGCUGCAUUAGCUAGUUGGUAAGGUAACGGCUUACCAAGGCAACGAUGCAUAGCCGACCUGAGAGGGUGAUCGGCCACACUGGAACUGAGACACGGUCCAGACUCCUACGGGAGGCAGCAGUAGGGAAUCUUCCGCAAUGGGCGAAAGCCUGACGGAGCAACGCCGCGUGAGUGAUGAAGGUCUUCGGAUCGUAAAACUCUGUUAUUAGGGAAGAACAUAUGUGUAAGUAACUGUGCACAUCUUGACGGUACCUAAUCAGAAAGCCACGGCUAACUACGUGCCAGCAGCCGCGGUAAUACGUAGGUGGCAAGCGUUAUCCGGAAUUAUUGGGCGUAAAGCGCGCGUAGGCGGUUUUUUAAGUCUGAUGUGAAAGCCCACGGCUCAACCGUGGAGGGUCAUUGGAAACUGGAAAACUUGAGUGCAGAAGAGGAAAGUGGAAUUCCAUGUGUAGCGGUGAAAUGCGCAGAGAUAUGGAGGAACACCAGUGGCGAAGGCGACUUUCUGGUCUGUAACUGACGCUGAUGUGCGAAAGCGUGGGGAUCAAACAGGAUUAGAUACCCUGGUAGUCCACGCCGUAAACGAUGAGUGCUAAGUGUUAGGGGGUUUCCGCCCCUUAGUGCUGCAGCUAACGCAUUAAGCACUCCGCCUGGGGAGUACGACCGCAAGGUUGAAACUCAAAGGAAUUGACGGGGACCCGCACAAGCGGUGGAGCAUGUGGUUUAAUUCGAAGCAACGCGAAGAACCUUACCAAAUCUUGACAUCCUUUGACAACUCUAGAGACAGAGCUUUCCCCUUCGGGGGACAAAGUGACAGGUGGUGCAUGGUUGUCGUCAGCUCGUGUCGUGAGAUGUUGGGUUAAGUCCCGCAACGAGCGCAACCCUUAAGCUUAGUUGCCAUCAUUAAGUUGGGCACUCUAAGUUGACUGCCGGUGACAAACCGGAGGAAGGUGGGGAUGACGUCAAAUCAUCAUGCCCCUUAUGAUUUGGGCUACACACGUGCUACAAUGGACAAUACAAAGGGCAGCGAAACCGCGAGGUCAAGCAAAUCCCAUAAAGUUGUUCUCAGUUCGGAUUGUAGUCUGCAACUCGACUACAUGAAGCUGGAAUCGCUAGUAAUCGUAGAUCAGCAUGCUACGGUGAAUACGUUCCCGGGUCU
rnacentral:rRNA from 1 species